AGCUUACCUCACAGGGCUGCUUUGAAAUCAGACAGUUAAUGAAUGUGAAGCACUCAGAACCGGGCCGCCUGGCAUGUGCUUGGUAUACUAAAUGUCCCUUACUCCAUGGCGAGGUUUAUUUUUGGUUGUUCUCUUCUAUUGCUGUUCUACUUAUCUGCACCUCUCCCAGACAGUAGAAGCAGAAAGCUUUCCUCUAAACUGCUCAGUAUACCCUGCAUUCAGUCAUGUCCUUCAUGGCUUCUGCACAAAAAUCAAACAGCAAUAAUGAUCUUCCAUGCACCUCUGCUAAUACAUGACUUCAACAUGCAAUUGUAGAUUUGGUUUUUUUGAACUCGGACAAAAGGUUUACAAUGUAGUUCUGCCUCAUCCCAUGGCUGCCCAGCAGGAUGAGAGGUUGCCUGUCACUACAGGAGGAAACGGGGGCAUGAAACCCCAGGAUUCUCAAGGCUGCUAGUUCUUCAUCCCAAAGUUCACCUUCUUCAUCACCCCUUCACUCUACCACAUGGAUUUCACCCAUGUCUGAGCUUAGUCUCUCAGCCAUCAGCAACUAUGGGAGCCUAGGGCAGUGCUAUAAUCUAAGUUAUACCCUCCCUAAAUUCACAUGUUGAAGUUACAGUACUCAGAAUGUCACUUGAAGAUAAAUUCUCCAUAAGGUCAAAGACAGAGGACAACAGAGAAAACAAGCCCACGUCCCCCCAGAGAGGCUCCCAGUCCAGUGGAGGAGAAAGACAAUUACAAGAGCAAGUGCAGAGUUCUGACCUGUCAGCGUCCAUACGCACCAGUAGGUGAUUGGACAAGGAAGACAGAAUUAAAAUACCCAGUUUCUAUCUCAUCUUGGACCUACCACCAAAUGACUAAAAUCAACCAUAUCACCUAUGGUGACCUCAACCAAACCACUACUGGUGCUGCCAUUCCACAUUAUGCCACUACUGAAUACUUACAGUGGACUACAACCAGA